UCCCUGGAGGACUAGUGGUUAGGCAAGAGCGCUCUCAGUGCUGUGGACCAGGUUCGAUUCCCAGCCAGGAAA